rnacentral:lncRNA from 1 species
AAAUACGUCAAACUUAUCUUUGAAUCCACCAAAUUCAUGUCCAAAUCUGUGAAAUCCUUCUCAAAUUCCGCCAAACUACUCGCAAAGUCCGCAGAGCCUUCCCAAUUUCCAAAACGUCCUUCCCACUUACCAACCAAAUUCCUUUCAUCCACAAAAUCAAGCCUCCCUUCCAAAUCCCCUUCAGGCUAUUGUAUCCCCUGAAACCUAUGAACCCU